rnacentral:lncRNA from 1 species
UCGACAACGAUAAUUACUAGAUUAAUGGCCAUCAUCAUCAGACAAAUAAUUAUAUUUGAUCAACUCAUUCAAAUCACCAAAUUCAAAUUAUAAAUUCAUUGAACCUCUUACUUUAUUCAUUUUUCUCUUUUCUUCGUAAGUUUUACAACCAUCGCAAAACCUAGCUGCAAACCGUCACUGAUAAUUGAGCCGGUGACCAAGCCCCUGUCAUCGCUGAAAGUUCAUCUCUGGUCGCUGGAAUCAUGUAUCCGGCAUGCAACAUAUUAUUGAAUCAAGGUACGUUUGUUGUAUGGAAGUCAUGAUGGCAACCCAAAGCUUUAUUUGCAUACUGUGCUAGGCUUGAUAUUUGUGUUUGAAAGUGAUUAU